UCCUGCCCGAAACUAGUUUGAUCGUAAUAUUUUCGUGAUGCUGGUCAAAUCUAUCAAGCGUUUAUGUGGUACUGUUUUGCGAGGCAACACAGUAGCUCACGUUAUCACCCUAAUCUAUGUCGUCACAAUUCAUUUAUUAUUGGCCACUGCAGCGUGGUGCGGGGAGUGAAUUAUACUUUACAAAGCAACUAGCCUAAGGGGGGCAAAUUCGACGAGUUUGACGAGAACGAUGACCAAUGAACCUAAAAGAACCGAAAGGGGAUCUGGAGUAUCCGACAGGACAUGUUUUGGGCGACAGAGGCUUUGCGUCGUCCCAUCGCCUGGGUCGGAUAAUAAUAAUAAUAUUUAGUUAGAGGCGGCCACAAUAAGAGGCGUUAUCGUGACGCACGAUUUUUUCAAAGAUGUGAAUAUGUUAGCACCGAGAUGACGGUUGAUAAGUGAAGUUAAUGAUUAGCUGUUGCGACGGCUCGUUUAGUUGAAAAUAGGACUGAACUAAAACAUAUUUAGACGGGAUUUCAUUUAAAUACUUCUAGAUUACUCGUAAUAGCUUGGUACAUUUCAGACGUAUGCACUUAAUUAGACAAGCAAAUCAAUGUAUUAGAAUACUAGGCCCUAUCGUAAAGUAUCUUUUAACAGCCUAACAUUAAUAAAUGUCAUACAACUCUAUUAUGGUAUUUACAUUGUACAUGUGCAGUUAUAAAGGCUAAAGUAAUUAACUCAAUAAUAAUUGUAAACAGACAUGCUUUAACAAAAACCGACUGCAAAUAGAAAAGAAAUGAUAUCACAAAACAAA